CUUCUAGAAGCUUCUCAGAGACCUAAAUAAAGUUUGAAAAGUUCUAAGAAUGGUAAGGCCUUCUAUGGAAGAAAAAUUUUUUUCAAUGUCUCAAGUCUCCAAAGGAAACAGCCAUUCAAACAUACAAAGCAACUAGAACAGGUAAGAGAAAAUCAAUGCAUUCAAACAAAUAGGCAAACGCAACUUGAUUUAUACUUUGAAGAAAGUAAGAUGAGACUAUAAUAGACAUGCAUUAGCAUGAUCAAGUUGUCACUAUGUGUUCUCUAAUUAAAUUUGUAUAAUCCAGAGAGCACUAAAUAAUAAAUAAAGAAAUAAAACCAAUGCAAAGUUCUUCAAUGUCCUUGCCUUGCCCAAAUUAUUUUGGGGGCAGCUGCAGAUACUGUGUCAUUUUGAAUCACUGUCCGAUGAUGGAUAGCUAUAGCAUACAAGAAAUCAUGUUUCCUUCAUAUCUGGUUUUCUAUUUCUUUAUGGCUUCUGUAUCUCUUUCAAUUUUUAAUUAAGCACCAUAAACAAACAUAAGCUGUGAAACCAAAAAAUAUCCAUGAAAAAAGAGUUGGAAAUUCUCAAUGAGCAAAUAGUUUGUCCACAGAAAAGGUCAGGCACGAAUUGCUCAAAUCCUAAGCAGCUAAAGAUUUUCUAAGCUCUAAAUGGAACUUCUUUUAUAUCACCAGCCAUGAAAGCUUACUUAACUUGUAGGAUGUCGAUACUACAAUUACAAUUAUUAUCAAUUUGGAAGCCUGAUGCAUAUGAUACUCCAUCUAAAAAUUUUAAGAAUACACACAAGAUACUAACUUUUAUGAAAUGUUUUGAGAGGACAAAGAAAAAUCAUGCUUCAUAAAGCAAUCGCAAGGUCCCAAAGAUCAACUCGGUUUCAGAAAAGCUUAUAAGCUCAUGUACAGAAAAUGUAUAAUUUUUGUUUAAUCAGGAGCACAAAUAAUAAUCCAAUCACACAUGUAUGCACACACCAACACACCUGUCUUGCUAUCACUUGACCA
rnacentral:misc_RNA from 1 species